rnacentral:rRNA from 1 species
UGCAUAUCAAAAAGCGGAGGAAAAGAAACUAACAAGGAUUCCCCUAGUAACGGCGAGUGAAGCGGGAAGAGCUCAAAUUUGAAAUCUGGCAGUCUUCGAUUGUCCGAGUUGUAAUCUAUAGAGGCGUUUUCCGUGCCGGACCGUGUCCAAGUCUCCUGGAAAGGAGUAUCAAAGAGGGUGAUAAUCCCGUACUUAACACGACCACCGGUGCUCUGUGAUACGUCUUCUACGAGUCGAGUUGUUUGGGAAUGCAGCUCAAAAUGGGUGGUGAAUUCCAUCUAAAGCUAAAUAUUGGCGAGAGACCGAUAGCGAACAAGUACCGUGAGGGAAAGAUGAAAAGCACUUUGGAAAGAGAGUUAAACAGUACGUGAAAUUGUUGAAAGGGAAACGAUUGAAGUCAGUCGUGUUCUUUGGAUUCAGCCAGUUCUGCUGGUCUACUUCCUUUGAACGGGUCAACAUCAGUUUUGUCCGGUGGAUAAAGGUAGUAGGAAUGUGACUUCUCCGGAAGUGUUAUAGCCUAUUAUCACAUACACUGGGUGAGACUGAGGACUGCAGCUCGCCUUUAUGGCCGACCUUCGGGUACGUUCGAGCUUAGGAUGUUGACAUAAUGGCUUUAAACGACCCGUCUUGAA